rnacentral:lncRNA from 1 species
CGCAGCCAGGCGCCCCAAGUUUGGGGAAGGCCGAGCUCCAGCCUGUCUGCCAGUUUGCGCCUAAGAUUCGCCCAGGUCACCCCUCUUGCGGUGCGCCUAAUGUUGGAGGACUAAACACAGAGCCUGGGUAGAACUCCAGUGACCUUUUCUGGCCAGAACCAGUUUGUGACUGGGCCUAGACCGUCUGGCCGGCGUGCCAGUGUUCGGAGAAUUUCCUCGAGGUCCCACGCGCGUCUUGGAAGCCAGAAGUGCAAGGUGUCCAGACGCUGCGCCUCCAACCCGCGCCGCUGCCCAAAGGGGCAGGGCGGACACCUAGGAGCAGCCUAA